AAAUGGAGGGACUAAAAAUUAGUCCCUAGUAACCAAACACUACCUUAAUCUCCCGCCGUGAGAAUAAAUCUCCUUGGCCAGGCUGCCGUGUUCAGCGCCGUCAUCCCAGGGGGGCCGUGGUGUCGGACUCGGACGGCGAGAUGGUCGCGAACGGCGGCGAGCCAGGAGGUGGCGGGAGCACGAGCACACGGGCUCCUCUCCCCGAUCCCGAUCUGUGUGCCUGGCUGCUUGCAACCUCCGUGGGAUGGAGGCGGCGCGGCAGCAGCAGGAGGAGUGCUCGUGCGGCGGGGCCGAGGCCGCUGACCAGUUCGAGCGGCUCCACGACGCGGUGCUGCUCGACGUCCUCAAUCGCAUCGACGACGUCAAGGCGCUAGGCCGCUGCGCUCUCGUCAAAACUCAGCUUGUUACCAGGGUUUGAUUUGAGGAUUGUAUGGAAAGCAGAGUAUGUGCUUCCUGAGAUUUAUGGGGCUGUUGGCACAGGAGAACCAGUCUUCAGUAUGAACUAUGGAAAGUUGCAUGCAUCGAUAGAUCGGGUCGAGGCUAUCGUUACUCAGUCAGAUCGGUAUUGAUCUCCCAGUGCGGAAAGGCAAGGGAGUUUCUUGAUCAAUAACAAACACGUUGAGUAGAUCCCAGGGUUACAAGAAGGAUUCUGAAGCUCCGUGCCUGAUGUACAG